rnacentral:lncRNA from 1 species
ACGUAAUCCAUUAAUUUGUAUAACUAAAGACCUUUUCAUUUAUAGUUUACAUAUGUUGAAUUCAUAUUUCAGUUAUUUUAUAUGAAUUUUGGUGAUACAUGAUGAACAGGAAGUUAGUAUGGUUUACUAAUAUCGUCUGUUUUUUUAAUGUAUUUUUUCCUUAAGCCGACGAAAUACACCAUAAUUCGUCGGCUAAAACCAUCUUAGCCGACGAAUUAUAGUGUAUUUCGUCGGCUAAACCCAUCUUAUUUCGUCGGCUAAAACCAUCUUAGCCGACGAAUUAUAGUGUAUUUCGUCGGCUAAUAAAGUUUUAGCCGACGAAUAACCUAAUAUUUCGUCGGCCAAAAUACGUAAUUUAGACGGUCGAACGACCUUUUCCAUGCGUUUAAGGGUUUGACUUACGAGAUUGACCGUCCGGAUCGAGCCCCUAUUCUUGUCGGAUCAAGUUGAAUUUUUUCCCAUACAUGUAUUUUGUCAUGAUGGUCAGAUCUGACGGUCGGAUUUAUUUUUCUCAAGUUUGAUCAUCACAAUCACAACAUGUAUACUAAUGUUGUAUAACUUGUUUACCAAGUGUUAUGUAAAUGUUCCGUUUCAAAAACAAACUAUACGUAAAACCUUCAAACGCCAAAAAGUCAUGAAAUAAGAUAUGACGAGAAUGUUGAAAUACAUCCACGGUUGAAAAAUCACACUAUUCCGGUAAAUAUUCGGUGCCGAUAGUUGCGGUCAAUGCAAUUUUUCAUUCUUUCCCCCUAUGAGUAGCCCUAUAUUCGGUGGUUAUUUUGCGUAAAAUUUUUAUACGACUUGUUACGUGUCAUCGGUUUAAAACUAUUUCAGUUGGAGGUUCGGCCAAAAUACGUAAUUUAGACGGUCGAACGACCUUUUCCGUGCGUUUAGGGGUUUGACUUACGAGAUUGACCGUCCAGAUCGAGCCCUUAUUCUUGUCGGAUCAAGUUGAAUUUUUUCCCAUAUAUGUAUUUUAUCAUGAUGGUCAUAUCUGACGGUCGGAUUUAUUUUUCUCAAGUUUGAUCAUCACAAUCACAAUGUGCCAAAUGUAUAAAAAUACUUUUAGCCGACGAAUUUCAAAGGUUAGCCGACGAAUUUCAAAAGUUUAGCCGACGAAUUUAUAAAGUUUAGCCGACGAAUUUCAAGGUUUUAGCCGACAAAUUUAGAAGGUUUAGCCGACGAAUUGAUGUAUAGCCGACGAAAUUCGUAUCUUUAGCCGACGAAAUAAUUAUUUCGUCGGCUAAAGUUUUCGGGUUUAACUGCGAAACCCUAGCCUCCUCCCUCCCUCCCUCUCCCGGUCCCGGUCUCCUCCCUCCUCCCGCUCCCUC